rnacentral:rRNA from 1 species
AGAUUGAACGCUGGCGGCAUGCCUUACACAUGCAAGUCGAACGGCAGCACGGGAGCAAUCCUGGUGGCGAGUGGCGAACGGGUGAGUAAUAUAUCGGAACGUGCCCAGUCGUGGGGGAUAACGUAGAGAAAUUUACGCUAAUACCGCAUACGAUCCAAGGAUGAAAGCGGGGGACCGUAAGGCCUCGCGCGACUGGAGCGGCUGAUAUCAGAUUAGC